rnacentral:rRNA from 1 species
CACCGCGGUUAUACGAGAGACCCAAGUUGUUAGACACCGGCGUAAAGAGUGGUUAGGAAGACUCAUUCAACUAGAGCCGAACACCUUCAAAGCUGUUAUACGCACCCGAAGGUAAGAAGUCCAACUACGAAAGUGGCUUUAUGUUAACUGAACCCACGAAAACUAGGACA